AACACUUUGCUGUAAAUACAAAAUUAAUCUAUUUAUAAAUAAGGAAUCAUAUUCUAAAAUUCACUAUUCACAAAUUCAAGCAGUAAGUACUGUGCUAAAACAAACCACAAAAAAAAACACAAUAACGAACGUGAGUAUUUCCACUUUUUUUAAAAGGCAUUCAUUUUUCUUAGUUUGUUGUUUGGUUCCCAGUAGAAGCAUUUCCCCUGUCCCAAAACAACACAUGGUAUGUUCCUUCUUUAUUACCCCUUGAAACAGGAAGCAGUAUGCAAGCUAACAAAUGCAUGCUAACAAAGGGACAGACAAAAAGACAUAAUGCACAUUUUUAAAACUGUUUUUUUAGAGGCACUUUUUCACAUUUGGGGAAGAUUGAGUGUCAAUAGAACUAUUUCUGCCAUUUGUAUUACAUUAUCCUUCAUGAACCAGGAAGUAGCUUCUAAUGUAUGUGCUGUACGAACAAACACAAAUGGGAGGUCUAAAGUGUACCCAUCUGGUUCUGUUUCUAAGGAUGGUGAAUGGGUAACACAAACACAUACUGCUGCACCCUAGUGCACCUUGCUUACACAUCAUGUGGUUGACAUUGGCUGACAAGGUGGACACGGAAUGGAGGAAGCAACUCAGAUGUCCAAAUGAGUAUUUUGAGAGGGUGUGCAGUGUUACAUCAUCAUGGGUGAGUAUGAAAAUAAGCUUACUCUGGGUAGACUGCGGUGCCCAUGUGGGACAGUUCAUCGUCCUCUAUGGUGAAGCCAUUACAGGACACCUGUACACAAAUAAGAUUCAUACACAAAAUUAAUGUAAUGUUACACUUUUAUCCAACCGAUACAGGUGUAUUACCUGUGAGAUGAGCGAGAGAAGCUCUUUGGAGUCGGGAAAGUCCAGAUGUUUGGAGUAAAACUGAUGCAGACCGGCGAUGUCUGCCUGGUUGUUUUCUCUUUUCUCAUUGUCUAUGUCCUCUACGUCUAUUGGCAGGGAUAGGGACAGAGAGGUGAAGUUUAAGUGCGUCUGGACUCUUUGCAGGUAUUAAUAGAAGGGCUCUCUUCUGGUGGUUGAGACAGGAACAUAUUAUCACCACAUUAUUGAGGAAACACAAUGCCCGAUGACCUACAUUCAUCACAACCUCAUAAACAAGAUGUCUACUAUUGCAACAUAAGCCCACUGGUCACCACAUUAGGUACACCUGUACAUACAAAUAUAAUGGAACAUGAGAGCCGGUCCAGAAUUAUGCUUGAUAAACAAUACACAACAAAUCUCGCCUGUUAAUAAGGUUCCUCUAGCUAAUUAAUAGUGUAUUGUGUCAAAAAGCAGUUGUGGCUGAAGGCAACUCCCAGAUGUAGCUUUAAUUAACGCCACAAGAUGGCAGUAGUUGGAUUUGAAGUCUGUCGUGUUUUUUUGUUGCUUUUUCCUCAUCUGAUUAUCUCGGGUCAUUGGUUCCAGACCUGAAUUGCAUUAAAUACAUUUCUGUGAUAUACAAUUCAAUGUUAAUAAAUGGAAUAUUUUUGUUGUGAGAGUAAAGAUAAUCCUGUUUAUGACUUUUACCAUUAUUAGAGCCCUGUAGACUGAAAUAACACCCCUAUAGCCAUCAUUAGUCUUCUAUUAUUCAUUGUUUAUACCGGAUUGCACAACUAUUAUGCCACAGGGAUAAUAAUAACAUGUUAGCUAACAACAUGAGCUGAACGGUUUGCCUUGAUUUUAUUUCUUCUAAAAGGCUUCAAACGGAGUGGGGAAGAAGGACAAAGUAAGAAUCCACAAACUUACCACUUCCACACAAAAUGGGGGGAGAAGCUCUUUCACUCUGCAGCCUUGUCUGGCUACAUGGAGUGUAAGGCCGGGUAGUGUAAUAAGGAUGGAUGUUUCAUCCAUGUAAGGGAUGACCUUAAGGUGAUUGUCUUAGGUCAAAGUUCACAAUGAGGUUAAAUAUCAAUGUCUAACAAACCACACAGAGUCGUACCUCAAAUUAAAGGUCUUGUUGAGGACUGUUGACAUCUGCUAUUGUUAAAGGUGAUGUAAUGGCCAAGAAAAACAUUUUUGGUGUGAAAAUGUCACUAAACUCCAACACUAUUACACAAUUUGGCAUCAUAGGUUGAAGUGGGAUAUUUUUUGACACUUGUGACGUGUGUGUGUUUAGGAUUAUAGGAUGUCAACUCACGAGACUGCAUUUCUCCAAUCUGUAAAAUCUUCUCAGACAAACAUCGUUCUUUCUGUGUUUUCUGCAGGGAGGCCAAAUGUGAUUAACAGAAAUGUGACACAAAAUCUCAAUCUCAAUGUGGGCUCCUAACCUUCUUGGCGAGAAUUCGAGCCACCAGUCGGGAUGUCUCUGACGGGCACCAUUUCUCCCCGAAUGCAACCAUGGCAGAGCACUCCAGCUUGUGCAUGGCCCAGUCCCCCUUCUGCGAUAGCACAUAGGAGUAGGCCGGGCUGGAGAAGAUCAGCUCCCCGACCUUAAAGGCUCUCGUUACGCGCAGACCUCGCCCUUUGCCGGGGCUGUCAAACCUCUCAAUCCCGUCGAUGUUGCCUGUCAUCCUGCCUGCCUCCCACUAAGAGGUCUUUCUCCGGAAUGAAUGAGGAGGACCUGUAUGGAUGGACCCACCCACCCCCUCCUGCCAUCGCCAACCAGAAUUUCACCACUCCAGAUACUUCUACCACCAACCAGAUGGAUGGAUCUUUACCGAGGACAUUCUGACACAGUGGAACCUCCAUUUUUAAAGAAAAUAUUGUCUUGGUUUUUG